ensembl:snRNA U6 U6 spliceosomal RNA
GUGCUUGCUUUUUAGCACAUAUGCUAAAACUGCAACAAUGCUCAGAAAAUGUGCAAGACUUCUACACAGAGAUGGCACACAGAUUUGUGAAGGUGCCCAUAUGUUU